UACAGAGGUCUCGAGCGUUAGGCGGAAUCACUGGGCUUAAAGCGUGUGUAGGUGGAUGCCUAAGUACCUUGUGAAAUCCCACGGCUUAACCGUGGAACUGCUUGGUAUACUGGGUGUCUUGAGUCACUCAGGGGCGAGCGGAACAAAUGGUGGGGCGGUGAAAUGCGUAGAUAUCAUUUGGAACGCCAAUGGUGAAAACAGCUCGCUGGGGGUGUACUGACACUGAGACACGAAAGCCAGGGGAGCGAACGGG
rnacentral:rRNA from 1 species